AGACAACCCAGAAGGCGUGACUCUGGCGAGGAGGGGGCUCAGGGCGUAGUCAUAGCCGGGAGACGUGGCGAGCAGAGGCAGGUAGACCCCACGCAAGCUGGGAUGAAGAAAGCAACACGCCUAGAAAGCGUGGCUCCGACGGGCGGGGAGUGGUCCUGAGGCGUGGCCAAGGGGCCCAGGGGCCAGGAGGCCCGGGGGCCCGGGGGCCCGGGGGCCUGGAGGCCAGUCAGAGGAAAAGCAGCAAACUCCCAAAGUGGGACUCUGGGAGAGAGGAUAAAAGACAGAGACGAAGGGCAGCAGGCGUUGCAAACAAGGCCAAAGUACUAGCAUUUGAAAAAGCGCCGCCGAGUGGAAGGGUGUGGCCAGCGGCAGAGGAGCUGAUUGGAGGCCGUCCACAACAAUGGGAAGGCGUGGCUUCAGUAGGAAGAGACAAGGGGCGCGUCUAGAGCUAAGCGACUAGUGGCGUGCGGAGGUUUGGCUUGUGCUGGAAAAGGCUUAGGGUUACUGCCAAGGCAGAGAUCAGCCUGCGACCAGACCGUAUGUAUACCCAGGAGGCAUGACUUGAGCAGGGAAAAGUUAACAGAGCAACAAACCCAGAAACCAUGACUUGUGUGGGAAGGGGCUCAAGGACUAGGGAUCCUAAUUGCGCCUGAAGACUAAACUUGUAAAACCUAGCUUAGGCGGAACAAGGUCCGAUAUAGGGGAUGGAAUCAAGUUUGGAAUGGCUGGGCGACAAAGGGACAGGCUGGGAGACUUAUGACUGGAAGAAUGGAUAAGAGCAGCGACGGGGGCCCUAAAAGCAUCGCUGGAGACAGAAACAAGAGCUAAACCAGGAACUGGGUGUGCAGCUCAGUGGGAGAGCCUUUGGCUGGUAAGCAUGCUUAGCAGGCCCUAGGUUCGACCUCCAACACUAAAACAAAUACCAAAACAAAACAAGAAAAACAAACCCCACCACUUUUCUUGUAUGUAUGCCAAGAGACUUAAAGCCUGAGAAGUUUUUUUUCGAGACGGAAACGAAUCCGGUAAAGCCUGAGAAGUCUUUUCAGGACGGAAACGAGGCAUUGGGGAGACUGGAACAUAUCUAAGCACUAAAGACACAGAACAGGACUUCAUUCGAAACUGAAAGGUGUGACUGGGAUGGGAGUGAGGGGCCAGCAGGACGGCCAAGCCAGGGAGGCGUGGCCACAGCCGCAAUAGAAAGCAAGAAUAAUGCCUUUUGCUGCCUACGCAUAAGGAUUAAAUUUUGUAUAAGUCGUAUUAGGUAAGCACAAGGCGCUGGGUAAGACUUUUCUUUUUCUUGAGUCAAUAUAUGCUUACCUUGCUAAGAAUCCUGUCUGCUAAGAAGAAAUCGCUCAAUAGAGGCAAAACUGGUUGAAUUUAAGAAGGGAUUCCUCUCCCACCAGCUCUCGCGAUUCUUUAAUCUGGAACAAGAUUAAAGAAUCAAAGCAAAAGCUCUUUCCCCGUAUGCUAUUUCCAACAUCUUCGCAGGCAGGACACGGACACGCGGAGUGGUACGCAACAUGCAUGGCCUCUCAACCAGGAUCCGACUUAGUUUUCAUCAACUGCAGCCUGCACCCCUGGAGUCUCUGAAACGGUCACUACGACCAGGGGCGGGGAAGCAAGCACAGGGUUUGAGGCUGAGCUUUGAAUGAAAGCAGAAAGCCACAGGCCCUGCAUGACUCCAUUUCGGCACACCUGCAGCCGGGAUUCCGCGGUAGGAGGAUUGUCUGGCUUGGGAGUAGUCGAGCACCCCGCCGCUGAGAUCCUUUAGGUUUCUUCCAUGAUGAAGGAAUCUCCAACACCAGUUCCAACGUCCGCUGUAAAUCCAUUCUUAGCAAGUCCCAGCUCAUCCACACUGCGCAACAGAAUCGCAAAUCCUAGCCCGGAACCCGGAAGCACCUAAGGGCCGGUGGUUCCGUUAUAUCACUUCCGCUUCCUGUUUGCAGGCUUAACUCCGGCCGGGGUUCCUCGCUCGAGCUACGAGUUGUGUCGUCGAUAGGUUCGAGGAUAUUGGAGCUCCAGCCACAAUGAUUGAGGUGGUUUGCAACGACCGUCUCGGAAAGAAAGUCCGCGUUAAGUGCAAGUAUCCACCGAGGGGUGACUGGCAGUGGCUCUGGGGCAGAUGGUGGUGUUGGAUGGUUUCAGUUAAAUGACGCUUAUGGGGAGGCCUGAUUACGUCUUCCUCGGUCUACCUCUUCCUUUCAUUUACCUUAACUCCUUCGUGCCCAGCACCGAUGACACCAUCGGCGACUUGAAGAAACUGAUAGCUGCUCAAACUGGCACCCGCUGGAACAAGAUCGUUCUUAAAAAGUGGUACACGAUUUUUAAGGACCACGUGUCUCUGGGAGAUUAUGAAAUCCACGAUGGGAUGAACCUGGAGCUUUAUUACCAGUAGAGGGGGAUUCCUUCUCCUCCUCGCCCUGCUCUGCCCUGCCCUCCUCUCCCAUCCUCAUCUGACACUGGUGUAGAUGGUCAUUUUUAACAGUUCACAUGAAUAAAAACUUGGCUGCUGCUUUGCUGCUGUCAUA